GACGAACGCUGGCGGCGUGUCUAAUACAUGCAAGUCGAACGAGAGCAACCGGUGCUUGCACUGGUCAAUCUAGUGGCGAACGGGUGAGUGACACGUGGGUAACCUGCCCAUCAGAGGGGGAUAACAUCCGGAAACGGAUGCUAAAACCGCAUAGGUCUUCGAACCGCAUGGUUUGAAGAGGAAAAGAGGCGCAAGCUUCUGCUGAUGGAUGGACCCGCGGUGCAUUAGCUAGUUGGUGAGGUAACGGCUCACCAAGGCCGUGAUGCAUAGCCGACCUGAGAGGGUGAUCGGCCACAUUGGGACUGAGACACGGCCCAAACUCCUACGGGAGGCAGCAGUAGGGAAUCUUCCGCAAUGGACGCAAGUCUGACGGAGCAACGCCGCGUGAGUGAAGAAGGUUUUCGGAUCGUAAAACUCUGUUGUUAGAGAAGAACAAGUGCUAGAGUAACUGUUAGCGCCUUGACGGUAUCUAACCAGAAAGCCACGGCUAACUACGUG
rnacentral:rRNA from 1 species